CUGAAGUUGUCUAAUAUGCUAUUCAAAAUUCACUUGCACUCUUCUUUUCCCAUUGUCAGGCUGAAGAGCAAGCAGCUGGACGAGAUGAUGGUAGAUCAGAUUAUGGUGUAGGUCGUCCAAAGGGAGGAGGAAUAUACGCAAAUGGGCAAGGAAAACCAAAGAAGGGAAGAGGUGGACCAAGAGAAGCUAAGAGAAUCAGGCCUU
rnacentral:misc_RNA from 1 species